CCUACGGGAGGCAGCAGUGAGGAAUAUUGGUCAAUGGGCGCUAGCCUGAACCAGCCAAGUAGCGUGAAGGAUGACUGCCCUAUGGGUUGUAAACUUCUUUUAUAUGGGAAUAAAGUGCAGUAUGUAUACUGCUUUGCAUGUACCUUAUGAAUAAGGAUCGGCUAACUCCGUGCCAGCAGCCGCGGUAAUACGGAGGAUCCGAGCGUUAUCCGGAUUUAUUGGGUUUAAAGGGAGCGUAGGCGGGUUGUUAAGUCAGUUGUGAAAGUUUGCGGCUCAACCGUAGAAUUGCAGUUGAUACUGGCAGCCUUGAGUACAGUAGAGGUAGGCGGAAUUCGUGGUGUAGCGGUGAAAUGCUUAGAUAUCACGAAGAACUCCGAUUGCGAAGGCAGCCUGCUGGACUGUAACUGACGCUGAUGCUCGAAAGUGUGGGUAUCAAACAGGAUUAGAUACCCCAGUAGUC
rnacentral:rRNA from 1 species